rnacentral:rRNA from 1 species
AGAGUUUGAUCUGGCUCAGGACGAACGCUGGCGGCGCGCCUAACACAUGCAAGUCGAACGGAGCUUAGAGAGCUUGCUUUUUAAGCUUAGUGGCGAACGGGUGAGUAACGCGUGAGUAACCUGCCCUAGAGUGGGGGACAACAGUUGGAAACGACUGCUAAUACCGCAUAAGCCCACGGUACCGCAUGGUACUGAGGGAAAAGGAUUUAUUCGCUUUAGGAUGGACUCGCGUCCAAUUAGCUAGUUGGUGAGGUAACGGCCCACCAAGGCGACGAUCAGUAGCCGACCUGAGAGGGUGACCGGCCACAUUGGGACUGAGACACGGCCCAAACUCCUACGGGAGGCAGCAGUGGGGAAUAUUGCACAAUGGGCGCAAGCCUGAUGCAGCGACGCCGCGUGAGGGAUGGAGGCCUUCGGGUUGUAUUUGUUAGGGAGCAAGGCACUUUGUGUUGAGUGUACCUUUCGAAUAAGCACCGGCUAACUACGUGCCAGCAGCCGCGGUAAUACGUAGGUGGCAAGCGUUGUCCGGAUUUACUGGGCGUAAAGGGAGCGUAGACGGCGCAGCAAGUCUGAUGUGAAAGGUUCGGGGCUUAACCCCGUGAUGGGAUGGAAACUGCUGAUCUAGAGUAUCGGAGAGGAAAGUGGAAUUCCUAGUGUAGCGGUGAAAUGCGUAGAUAUUAGGAAGAACACCAGUGGCGAAGGCGACUUUCUGGACUGUAACUGACGCUGAGGCUCGAAAGCGUGGGGAGCGAACAGGAUUAGAUACCCUGGUAGUCCACGCCGUAAACGAUGAGUGCUAGGUGUUGGAUCCUUUCCGGGAUUCAGUGCCGCAGCUAACGCAUUAAGCAUUCCGCCUGGGGAGUACGACCGCAAGGUUGAAACUCAAAGGAAUUGACGGGGGCCCGCACAAGCGGUGGAGUAUGUGGUUUAAUUCGAAGCAACGCGAAGAACCUUACCAGGUCUUGACAUCCCGAUGCUAUUUCUAGAGAUAGAAAGUUACUUCGGUACAUCGGUGACAGGUGGUGCAUGGUUGUCGUCAGCUCGUGUUGUGAGAUGUUGGGUUAAGUCCCGCAACGAGCGCAACCCUUAUUCUUAGUAGCCAGCAGGUAAGGCUGGGCACUCUAAGGAGACUGCCGGGGAUAACCCGGAGGAAGGUGGGGAUGACGUCAAAUCAUCAUGCCCCUUAUGAUCUGGGCUACACACGUGCUACAAUGGCGUAACAAAGGGAAGCGAGCCUGCGAGGGUGAGCAAAUCCCAAAAAUAACGUCCCAGUUCGGACUGUAGUCUGCAACCCGACUACACGAAGCUGGAAUCGCUAGUAAUCGCGAAUCAGCAUGUCGCGGUGAAUACGUUCCCGGGCCUUGCACUCACCGCCCGUCA